UUGUUUUUAUUUCGGCCUUUUGUCUAUCAAGAGCAAGGCAUAAAAAGAAGAGCUCCCCACCCUCCCUCUUCUCUCUCUGUUUUUCUCUCCGAGCUUCUUUCCCUUCUCUUUUUCUAUUCCGCUUCCUCCUGUUUCUUUCCUGUUUUUUAAUAGUGGAGCUAAGAAAUCAAAACGCACAGCUGGGCCUAGGCUUUUCCCACCAUACUAAAACUCUCCCGUGAGCCACCAUCAUUGCCCCUCAAACGCCUGCAACGCUCUCCUCUCUUCUUCCCUUCUCUUCCCUACAAGCUCCCUCUGACGUGGAUCCUCGUCGCCAUUGUAGGACUUCUCGUCAGAGGACUCGGGGAAGCUAGCUAGGUUGGGACCAGUCUUCCUUCUGGCCCUUAUCCGUGUAGCCAAGGCCGUCGUCGUCGAUGAUGAAACCGUGAGAGGCCUCCCGACGACAGGCGACGAAGGCGGCGUAGCCAUCCUUGGCGACGGUGUCGUACAUGGGCUCCUCCAUCUUGAGGUGUCGAGGUCAUCCUCGGUGACAGUGUCGUAGAUGGGCUCCUCCAUCUUGAGGGAAUAAACACCCAUGUUGCUGAAUGCCGCCAAGAAGUGGAUGAGAUGAUUUGAACGAGAUUGAGAGACAAGAGUAUAAAGGCGAGAGGGUGGAUGUCCUAGUCACACAACAGAAUUCAAGUUUGGGACUGCACCAAGGACUGGAGACUUCGCUGCAGUUCCGGGUGGAGGUCCGCUUUCUUCUCAGAAUGGAGAUGGGACCAGCUUUGAAAAAGGAUUGGAGAACCUUUUGAACAGUUGCAUUAGUAGACCAUUUGUCUGGAUCCCAAAUCAAAACAAGUAGACUAAAGCAUCAGCUAAACAGGAAAUGAAUUGCUCAACAACAUACCCGUGAGAAACCUGUUCGCGCCCCCGGUGGGGCCGGGUGGGCGGCUUGGGGUGUUGGGACCGGAUAUAGCCAUGCGCCAGAAGAGGUCAGUUGUUGGAUUGAUUACGCCAGUGAAUAGCCGGCUUUAUCCCACUCUUUCCCAUUCUCUUUCUAUAAAUUCCCUCCAUGCUUGAUCAAUGCCACCUUCGUAGCCUCCCUCACCUCUCACCUCCUUCUUCCCCACCUCCAUCAGCAAUCGGACUCUGUAAUCAAAUCAUGUCACCGUCGCUCAAAAAUCCUUCUUCCUACCUAAUCCUUACUAAGUUAGGAUUCUUCACUGCCAACACUCCGAUCGAACCAUUGCCACACCGCCACUCGACCCAUCUCCUCCUUAUCUGUUCUAUCCUCCCCCUCAUGGGGUGUUUGGUAGCAUGCAAUUCUGACAGAAUUACAUGUAAUUUUACAACAGGUAAUUAGAUUACAUUGUUUGUUUCAUCACUUUCACAGCUAAUACUGCAUUACAUGUAAUGCAGAAUUAUCU